rnacentral:lncRNA from 1 species
AGAAAUCAUCAUGCCUCCAGCAGCCUUAGGACAGAUAUUGUAUGAAGCCAUUGAAUUAAUUCUCAGUGGAACACACAUUCCAGUUAAAGAACGAACUCAGCUACAGAUAGUAGCAUACAAAAAGAUCAGCCUAUAUAAACUGGAAUUGAAGACCCGGAAUCUGGGAAGCAGGAAAAGAGGAUUGUUUCAAAAAGCAAAAGAGUUGCCAAAAAGAGUGAAAGAAAAAACAUUAUCAGAAGUUUCAGCAAGGAAACAAAAGCUGCUGGCUCAAAACAGUUGUAUGAUAUCAUUUCAAAGUACUUUCAUGGCACAAAGAGAUCGCAAAUUCUUGACUGGCUAAAGGAAAGUAAAACUAUGACAAAGCUCCGGCCAAAAUUUUCCAAUAAAGCACCAUUGAAACCAGUGUAUUCUGUUGCUCCCAUGGAGGGACACCAGAUAGACAUUGUGGACCUGUCUGCAGUAGCAGAAGAAAAAGAUGGGAAAACGUACAAAUAUGUGUUGUCUAUUUUGGAUAACUUUUCCAGAUUUCUGUGACUUGUCCCAAUAACGGAUGAGUCUUCAGAAACAGCGGCAAAAUCAUUGACUGAUUUAUUUAGACAAUCAGUGGGGCACCCCUAAAAUUAUCCAAACAGAUCAAGGGGGUGAAUUCAAAGGCAUGGUGACCCUCUGUGGCAGACUUGGCGUGCGACUCAUCCAUUCGAGGGCCUAUCAUCCCCAAUCCUAAGGAAAAGUAUGUUUAGUCAGAUGUAAGUGUUAAAAAAAACCCAACAUUCUGAUGGCUGGCAAGAGAGGCUAUACUGCAAGACACAACUUAGGAGGUGGUGACAGCAUGUUUCUUGCACUCAGCAGAUAUAUCAUCAGAGGAUUUAGAGGUCAAUGCACUUGAAGUUAGGCACACGGUGGUUGACCAUCUGCAGGAAACUCCCCGAACGAUUGAUGGAACACAUAUGAAGAACUUGGUUCCGGAAAAAAAGUCAUGGAACAAGUAUGUGGACAAGAUGCUAAAGAAAGGGACAUGGGGAGAUAAUCUCAUGCUCCUGAUGGGAGCGGCAGACGUCCCAGAUGUAACAAUUACAGUUAUCAGCACAUGGUCAGAAGAGCCUAUAGUCAUGAAACCCAGGGAGACAAAGGCCGGGCUCGGAACACUAUGUGUAGGUCAUCUGUCAGGGUUUCACUACGUCAGCUUGGAAAAAAUAGCUACAUUAGCGCUGACAAUUCUUGUAAGCAGUGAGUUCAAUCAAUAAAGAGUUAACUGCUAUCAUCAUCUAUAUUUUCCUUUGCUUAUAGUUGUAUCAUGUAGAUAGAUCACACAUCUCUGCCCUGGAAUCAAUAUCUGUAUCUUAGACUAGUUUAAACUAUUCCAUAUAAUCUGGGUCCUCAGUGUGUCCCGUCAUAUAAUUUUAAAACCUAAUGUAGAUACUGGGUUCGUGGGUUAAAGCAGUGUGAAGAUGAACAUGAUAAAUAAUAUUAGUAGUAGAUUUAACAUAAAAUGAUUUAUUCCAGUUUCUCCCAAUUCGAGAUCAAGCACCCACAGCAUUGCUUUAAUGUAAGUCAGCAAAAUAAUAAAUAUGUGGUGGUGUUUCAUAUUUUAUCGUUCAAAUAAUCUUUCUAUUCUUCAGGCCAGAAGUGCAGAACUUGCCACCAAACCCUAAGUGUCUGCAAAUGUGCUUUGGAAAGAGAUACGCCAACCACUUCUACUGGCCAAAGAAACUUGUAGAUUGAUGGAACACAUAUGAAGAACUUGGUUCCGGAAAAAAAGUCAUGGAACAAGUAUGUGGACAAGAUGCUAAAGAAAGGGACAUGGGGAGAUAAUCUCAUGCUGCUGAUGGGAGCGGCAGACGUCCCAGAAGUAACAAUUACAGUUAUCAGCACAUGGUCAGAAGAGCCUAUAGUCAUGAAACCCAGGGAGACAAAGGCCGGCCUCGGAACACUAUGUGUACUUAUUUUGUAUAAAAGCACUUUUUGUAAUUUAUUUUGGAUGAUUCAUAUUUUCAUCAUAAAAUACACUUAAUAAUCAUAUAGUUUUUGCAAAUUUGUCUUCAGAAUAAGUUUUAGCAAUUCUUAAAACAAGUCCCUAAAAACAAUGUCAUUACUGCAACAGAGAAUCAUUUACAAAAAUAUGGUCUAAGGGAGGCAACUUUCCUAGUGUGGUCACAUGACCCUAAGUUUGCAGUGGAGGGAAGCAUGGAUGGCAUGGAUGGCAUGGAUGCCAUGUAUGCAUCCCUUCACAUCAUCAGCCUAUUUUCUUGAUAUUCUUCUAAAAGUGCAGCAUUUUGAGUGAGUAUGUUUAUCUAUCGUCAUUACCAUAUACUUAAGAUACCUUAUACUGUUGUACCUGUUAGUUCCAUAAUUCACUUAAACUUUAAAUGAGGUUGAUAUGCAACAAUUUCUGAGCAAUGUAGACUGCUUAAAAUGUAUGGAGAGUUGUUUUAGCCAUAAUUGUAAAAAAAUGUCAUAACCACAACAGUCAUUACCAAAACAGCAAGGUAGGUUUUGGUAAUGACAAAGCAUUUUGGUAAUGACUUCUUGAGAUUGAAAUUGAUAAACAAUUAACAAUACUUAUUGAGAGCAGUUCAUCGUUUAAAUUAUUACAGAUCUAAAAGAAUGCAAUAUCAAUUCAAACUUAUAUUAUCUGAAAAUUAUUGAGACUAUUACAAGAAUAACUGAGAAUGUAAUGGAAUGUAUGAAAAACAAUGUUAUUAUUUAACAAAAUAUUAUUCAACAAUUACAUGCAAGUAUAUCUUUUUCAGAAUGAGUGUGGAAAAUGAGUUUAAGAAGAUAUAUAGAAAAAUUAGAUAAGUCUCUUGAAUCAACUGAAAAAGAAUUUUAUGACUUGCUAAGUGAAGUGUAUUCUCGAUCGGAUCCUUACUUCAGAACUUGGGCUAAGCAAGUUGUUGACUUAUAUGAAGCUAUUCUCUACCUGAGAGAAAACAUCAAACGUUACACCAAGCUAUUAAAAGAAGACCAUGGGGUUAACUAAUAAGGAAAGAAGUAGACGAUUUAUGACAAAGCUAAAAGAAAAUCCAGAGAAACAAAGAAUAUCUUGAAAAGGAAAGAGAAAGAUACCAAAAAAGGAAAGAAAGAAAACAACUCUGAGGAAUUGAAGUUCUCUUUCAGAUUAAA